ACAAUUAGCAUGUGCUCUGGCCUACUAUUGCAUAUAUUUGACAUAAAACAAAGGUUUAAUGUUUCUAUACUGUUUGUAUUUUGCUGUCCAUGCAAUCAUUAUAUAAGUUGAAAAGGGGAAGGGAUUAAACCCCCAGUGUAUUUAUUUUGUUUUAUUAUGAUUCCCCUAGCUGGUCCCUUAAUUUCCUUCCACUUUACCCAGCAUAAUAUUUACAUGGUAGCGUGAGUCUAACAUGUAAUUUUCAUGAAGGCUUGUGGAAGUGAAUCCCACCACUAUACAGAUGUUUAGCAGUUAGAGGUGGUGCUACUUUGGCUUUUCCAUCGUUCAUUGCAUAAAUUUCAUAAAAUUUACCAGGAUACCGAAAACAAAUCCUCUGUAUUAAAGACAUGAUGGUCAGCCAAAAGAGAGCAUGGAAGCCCAACAGGAACAAUCCCUCUACAGCCCAUUUAUAAGGUCUGAAGUGUACCAGUGUACCAGUUUCUCUUUGACCUGUGCCAACUCUGGUAACCCUGCCUUUGUCAAGGACACAUGUACUUGUCGCUAUCCCUAGGGUCUGGAUCUCUCUAUCGGAUGUCCGACUCAUUUUGAUGGGGGAUGGAAUGAUUUCAACAAAAUGGCCGUCUGACACCUUUACUAGAUUAAGUACCUGGAUACAUGUAACUGGCUGUCCCAGAGGGUUUUAUGAAGGCAGUUUUACACAUCAUAUUAAAGACACCAGGAUGGACCACACAAGUUCCACAUUUAAUGCUGACAUCAUUUCAAAGGCCACCUCUACAUUUUACAAAUUUUGUGCUUAGAAGAAAACGGAAGAAAAUAGAAUUUCGCCAAGCUGGCCUGCAGGAAAAUAUUGUAUCUACCGCCAAGGAGGUGUUUGUCC